AUUAUCUAAUUGAAUAAUUUAACGAUUUCCCCUUCCUAUUUGAUCUCCCCAAUCCAUAUGUAAUGGAACUCUAUUCGCUUUUCUGAUUGAUAUAGUAAAUAAUUGAUAUAUAAAAUAAUAGAAUUAGGAAAUCCUCUAUUUACUAUAUCAAUCAUUGAAUAAUAACUUUUUUGUUGACAAAAGAAUAAAGAUCAUUUCUAUUCCAAGGUGGGGAGUUUUAUUUUCCCCAUCGACCUA
rnacentral:sRNA from 2 species